rnacentral:rRNA from 1 species
AUGUGGACCUGUCUUCGUCAGCGCUAUGAGCCCUCUGGUGAUGCCUUAUACCUUUCUGUGGUUCGUCAGGAGCAUGCUCUUCAGCAGGGUGACUCUACUGUUGAUGACUUUUAUGCACAGAGUUCUGCUAUCUGGCGCCAGCUUUAUUCUCUCCGCAGUGCUGGCUGUCGUACUUGCCCCUGCUGCCAGGCUGUCCAGGCCAACUUGGAGUUUCAUCGCGUCUACGAGUUCCUGUCUCGGCUCCGUAAGGAGUUUGAGCCCCGGCGUGCUCAGUUGUUUGCUCGUGGCCGUAUUUCUCUCAUGGAGGCACUUUCAGAGAUUCGUGCUGAGGAGACUCGCUUACGUGGUGCUGGUUUGCUGGAGGUUCCCUCUGUGCUCGCUACUCGGGCUUCUUCCACUCCACCUGCUGCACCGCCCCAUUCUCGCUCGAGUGCUCCGCCGCUCUUGCCCACUCCUUCUGGAGGCUCAGGUCGCCCCCGUCCACAUUGUGACUACUGCAACAAUGAUGGUCAUAUUGAGUCCCAGUGCUACACCAAGCGGAAACACCUGCGCAAGGCGCGAUCAUCCUCCUCAGGGACUUCGUCA